GACGAACGCUGGCGGCGUGCCUAAUACAUGCAAGUCGAACGCAGUGGGGACGGGUGAGUAACACGUUGGUGACCUCCCAUCAGAGGGGAUAACACUUGGAAACAGGUGCUAAACCGAUACUGAUGGAUGAACCCGCGGUGCAUUAGCUAGGUGGUGCGGUAACGGCUCACCAAGGCCACGAUGCAUAGACGACCGGAGAGGUUGAUCGGCCACACUGGGACUGAGACACGGCCCAGACUCCUACGGGAGGCAGCAGUGGGGAAUCUUCGGCAAUGGACGAAAGUCUGACCGAGCAACGCCGCGUGAGUGAAGAAGGUUUUCGGAUCGUAAAGCUCUUUUGUUAGAGAAGCGGUAUCUAACCAGAAAGCAACGGCUAACUACGUGCCAGCAGACGCGGUAAUUC
rnacentral:rRNA from 1 species